rnacentral:rRNA from 1 species
GACGAACGCUGGCGGCGUGCCUAAUACAUGCAAGUAGAACGCUGAAGGAGGAGCUUGCUCUUCUGGAUGAGUUGCGAACGGGUGAGUAACGCGUAGGUAACAUGCCUGGUAGCGGGGGAUAACUAUUGGAAACGAUAGCUAAUACCGCAUAACAGUAGAUGUUGCAUGACGUUUGCUUAUAAGGUGCAAUUUCAUCACUACCAGAUGGACCUGCGUUGUAUUAGCUAGUUGGUGGGGUAACGGCUCACCAAGGCGACGAUACAUAGCCGACCUGAGAGGGGGGUCGGCCACACUGGGACUGGGACAACGCCCCGACUCCUUCGGGGAGCAGCCAUAGGGGAUCUUCGGGAAUGGACGGAAGGCUGACCGGACAAAGCCGCGUGAGGGAAGAAAGGUUUCGGAUCGUAAAGCUCUGUUGAAAGAGAAGAACGAGUGUGGUAGUGGAAAGUGCACACUGUGACGGUAUCUUACCAGAAAGGGACGGCUAACUACGUG